UACGUAGGGAGCAAGCGUUGUCCGGAAUCAUUGGGCGUAAAGCGCGCGUAGGCGGCCCGAUAAGUCCGCUGUAAAAGUCAAAGGCUCAACCUUUGAAUGUCAGUGGAUACUGCCGGGCUAGAGUCCGGAAGAGGCGAGUGGAACUCCUGGUGUAGCGGUGGAAUGCGCAGAUAUCAGGAAGAACACCAACGGCGAAGGCAGCUCGCUAGGACGGUACUGACGCUGAGACGCGAAAGCGUGGGAGCGAACAGG
rnacentral:rRNA from 1 species